rnacentral:rRNA from 1 species
GUGGGGAAUUUUGGACAAUGGGGGCAACCCUGAUCCAGCCAUGCCGCGUGCGGGAAGAAGGCCUUCGGGUUGUAAACCGCUUUUAUUCGGGAAGAAGGAGUGCGGGUUAAUACCUUGCAUGACGGACGGUACUGGAUGAAUAAGCACCGGCUAACUACGUGCCAGCAGCCGCGGUAAUACGUAGGGUGCGAGCGUUAAUCGGAAUUACUGGGCGUAAAGCGUGCGCAGGCGGUUCUGAAAGUCAGCUGUGAAAGCCCCGGGCUUAACCUGGGAAUGGCGGUUGAAACUACAGGACUAGAAUCUGGCAGAGGGGGGUGGAAUUCCACGUGUAGCAGUGAAAUGCGUAGAGAUGUGGAGGAACACCGAUGGCGAAGGCAGCCCCCUGGGCUGAGAUUGACGCUCAGGCACGAAAGCGUGGGGAGCAAACAGGAUUAGAAACCCUUGUAGUCC